UACGUAGGCGGCAAGCGUUGUCCGGAAUUAUUGGGCGUAAAGCGCGCGCAGGCGGUCCUUUAAGUCUGAUGUGAAAGCCCACGGCUCAACCGUGGAGGGUCAUUGGAAACUGGGGGACUUGAGUGCAGGAGAGAAGAGUGGAAUUCCACGUGUAGCGGUGAAAUGCGUAGAGAUGUGGAGGAACACCAGUGGCGAAGGCGACUAUCUGGACGGUUUCUGACGCUAAGACGCGAAAGCGUGGGGAGCAAACAGG
rnacentral:rRNA from 1 species